rnacentral:rRNA from 1 species
CAUUUAGGUUGAUCCUCGCUGAAUCUGAAAACUAAACAGGUCAGGCUUAGUUAGUACUUGAAUGGGAGACCAUCAAAAAUAUCAAGGCCUAAAGGC